rnacentral:rRNA from 1 species
UACGGAGGGUGCGAGCGUUGUCCGGAUUUAUUGGGUUUAAAGGGUGCGUAGGUGGUUUCUUAAGUCUGGUUUGAAAGUCAGCGGCUUAACCGUUGGAUGUGGCUGGAAACUGGGGGACUUGAAUGGGCUGGAGGUCACUGGAACGGGUCAUGUAGCGGUGAAAUGCAUAGAUAUGACCCAGAACACCAAUUGCGAAGGCAGGUGACUACGGUCUGAUUGACACUGAGGCACGAGAGCAUGGGGAGCGAACAGG